UCACUGGUAGGACUCCUGAUACGGGGCUGCCCCUGGAGGAGGGAAAGGGCUUCCUGGCUAAUGGUCCCUCGUUUCUUCAGAGUCAUCGAUUCUCCAGGUCACCACCCAGCUACCAGUGUUCUUGAAGCAGGCUGCAGCCGCCAAGACCAUUGGGAUCCUGGCACGAAGUGACUUGAAAGUGGCAGAGGAGCUGCUGUACCUGCGCGUGAUCCACAGCCUGAUGACAGCCAUGGGCAACACCGACCACAGCAACAGCCAGAGACUGGCCAGCCUCACUCUAGAGUUCUUUGUGCAAAUGUUCCCACUGGUGGAGGAACAUGUCCACAAGUCCAUGGGGGAGGAACUCUACCAGCUCUUCCUUGUAAGUAUUUCCCUUCCCACCAGCCUCAGGAGUUUCCCAGGACAGAAUGGUACCCAUUGUGCACACAGGAAUCCAGUCUCCUGAC